CGCGGCACGCGGUCCGAACAAAGGUGUAGGUACACGCACGAGAGGUGUAGGUACACGUAAGAGAGGUGUAGGUACACGUAAGAGAGGUGUAGGUACACGUAAGAGAGGUGUAGGUAGACGCACGAGAGGUGUAGGUACACGUAAGAGAGGUGUAGGUACACGCACGAGAGGUGUAGGUACACGCACGAGAGGUGUAGGUACACGCACGAGAGGUGUAGGUACACGCACGAGAGGUGUAGGUACACGCACGAGAGGUGUAGGUACACGCACGAGAGGUGUAGGUAAACGCACGAGAGGUGUAGAUACACGCACGAGAGGUGUAGGUACACGCACGAGAGGUGUAGGUACACGCACGAGAGGUGUAGGUACACGCACGAGAGGUGUAGGUACACGUAAGAGAGGUGUAGGUACACGUAAGAGAGGUGUAGGUACACGUAAGAGAGGUGUAGGUACACGCACGAGAGGUGUAGGUACACGUAAGAGAGGUGUAGGUACACGCACGAGAGGUGUAGGUACACGCACGAGAGGUGUAGGUACACGCACGAGAGGUGUAGGUACACGCACGAGAGGUGUAGGUACACGCACGAGAGGUGUAGGUACACGCACGUGAGGUUGUAGGUACACGUAAGAGAGGUGUAGGUACACGCACGAGAGGUGUAGGUAUACGUAAGAGAGGUGUAGGUACACGUAAGAGAGGUGUAGGUACACGUAAGAGAGGUGUAGGUACACGCACGAGAGGUGUAGGUACACGCACGAGAGGUGUAGGUACACGCACGAGAGGUGUAGGUACACGUAAGAGAGGUGUAGGUACACGUAAGAGAGGUGUAGGUACACGUCA